GUCAACUAAUGGCUGAAGUCAUGAGUUGAGUUUUGAUACUUAAAGUAUUAAGGUUUGACUCUGCUGAGAUUUCCCUUAUAUACUCGGAUAGUAUGAAGUUUGUAUGAAGGUGGAAUUCGGUCAGUGGAUCUAAGCAUCAUCACCAGCUGGCGGCCACGCAGCUGGAGCAGGCAGCCAUGUCUCGCUGCCAGUGGGAAGAACUGCACGACCAAUCUGAGCGCCAGGUGCAGCUGAUCAUGAGUCUGGCAGCUCGGGUCAGUUCCUGACCUACGCUGCCGCCAUUCCCACCCGCGACCCUCGACUGCAUGGGAACUGCGGUCCAGACUGGUCCGGCGCCCAUGGCAGCCCCCAGGGUGAGGCCAGCCAGGACGCAGUCUGCCUCUGCACCCGUCUCCACUCCUCGGGUGGACUGGCUGGUGCCCGGCAGGGGCCUUCGCCCAUUCCUGCUCCCCGGAGGAGGGCCUCUGAGCAACCGCUGGGCCCACCACCAGCUCACUCACCUCACCAGCCGUAGGUGGAGGACGAGGCGCACGAGGGACCUCAUCAGCCGGAGACAGAACUCGAGGGGCACGAGGGUCCUGCCAAGCCUAACUCGGCGUGCUGGCCAGACCAGCCUCACCUCCACUGCCAAACCACCUGGGAGUCACAGCCGCGACUGCUGCACCGCUGCUGGUUGACACACAGGUGGCCCCCAGACACACCUCAUCACCGCCGCCGGUGGAUCCGCGGGCGGCCCCCUGAAUCAACACGUCCCUGCCGCUGGGCCAUGGGCUGUGGAUGCCGAAGGAUGAGGCUGAUUCUCUCUCCUGCUCGUGGGAUCUGCAGUCGCGCCUCGCUGGCUUUAAAAUCUGUACUGGGUCCUGAGAUUGUGUUGUUGUUGGCAUGUAUGUUCAGCUGGCAACUGGAAAGCUUCAGGCGCGUGUGAACAGCAACCCGUGAAUAAAA